CUGGCACAUGCUGUGUCCAAUGGACCAUGGAAGGCAUUUUACUUGGAUGACGAGGGCGCAUCUCACCAGCAUCAGAGUAACAGCUGUGGGGUGUUUAUGCUGAUGUACGCAAUGUAUGCUACCCUCCAAAAGCCAUAUGAUUUCAGUGAG